AUGGAAGCGAUGAUGAAGGAAUUGGGUUUGAAGGAGGAUGAUCUAGUUGACGUGGUGGUAGAAGAUGGUGACAUCCCAGAAGAGGCAGCCCGAUGGAUGGCGAUAGCGCAAGUGAACACGGACAAACAGUAUAGCCAAUAUUGGUUCUAUCGCAACAUGCGUGUCGCUUGGGAUCUAGCAAAAGAGGUAAAAUUCCGGCCGCUCGAAGAAAAUCUAUACACCCUGCAAUUCUCCUGCCUCAGUGAUUGGGAA
rnacentral:rRNA from 1 species